UACGUAGGGUGCGAGCGUUGUCCGGAAUUACUGGGCGUAAAGAGCUCGUAGGUGGUUUGUCGCGUUGUUCGUGAAAACUCACAGCUUAACUGUGGGCGUGCGGGCGAUACGGGCAGACUGGAGUACUGCAGGGGAGACUGGAAUUCCUGGUGUAGCGGUGGAAUGCGCAGAUAUCAGGAGGAACACCGGUGGCGAAGGCGGCAUCCUGGACCGGUAUUGACGCUGAGGAGCGAAAGCCAGGGGAGCAAACGGG
rnacentral:rRNA from 1 species